GGUGGGGGGUGGGGAGUCCCUCAGUUCAGAUUGUGAGAGGGCACAAGCCAGGCCGAGGGACCCCACCAGUGCACA
rnacentral:pre_miRNA from 1 species